GCAUCGAUGAAGAACGCAGCGAACGCGAUAGGUAAUGUGAAUUGCAGAAUUCCGUGAAUCAUCGAAUCUUUGAACGCACUUGCGCUCCAUGGCAUUCCGUGGAGCAUGCCUGUUUGAGUGCCGCGAAAUCUCCCACCCCUAGCGGUUGCCGCAAGGCGCCGCCGGGCGGCGGGGUUGGUUGGGUGCCGCUGCCUGGGCUUUGGCCCAGGCUCGCCCGAAAUGCAUGAGCGCUUAGCACUCGCACCGUCUCGAGGGAAGGCGGCGGAGCUGGCAUCUGCGCAUGGCAUGAUACGUCAUUUGCUGUGUGGCAGCCCAGCGACCCGAGAGUGUGUGUGCGCUACUACACGCCCUUUCAUUUCUGGUCUCAAAUCAGGUAGGAUCACCCGCUGAACUUAAGCAUAUCAAUAAGCGGAGGA
rnacentral:rRNA from 1 species